rnacentral:rRNA from 1 species
CGGAGGAAAAGAAACCAACAGGGAUUGCCUCAGUAACGGCGAGUGAAGCGGCAAAAGCUCAAAUUUGAAAUCUGGCCCCCCCCGCGGGGGUCCGAGUUGUAAUUUGCAGAGGAUGCUUUGGGCGCGGCGCCUUCCGAGUGCCUUGGAACAGGUCGCCUCAGAGGGUGAGAGCCCCGUACGGUUGGACGCCUAGCCCGUGUAAAGCUCCUUCAACGAGUCGAGUAGUUUGGGAAUGCUGCUCAAAAUGGGAGGUAAAUUCCUUCUAAAGCUAAAUACUGGCCAGAGACCGAUAGCGCACAAGUAGAGUGAUCGAAAGGUGAAAAGCACUUUGAAAAGAGAGUCAAAUAGCACGUGAAAUUGUUAAAAGGGAAGCGUCUGCGACCAGACGCGCCGCCCGCGGCUCACCCGGCGCCUCGGCGCCGGGGCACGCCGCGGGCGUCGGGCCAGCAUCGGCUCUGCCGUGGGUACAAGGACCGCGGGAACGUAGCUCCCUCGUGGAGUGUUAUAGCCCGCGGCACCAUGCCCGCGGCGGGGCCGAGGACCGCGCCCGCAAGGGCAAGGAUGCUGGCGUAAUGGCCGCCGGCGACCCGUCUUGAAACACGGACCAAGGAGUCAAGCAGUGGGGCGAGUGUACGGGUGCCAAACCCGCGCGCGAAAUGAAAGUAAACGCAGGUGGGAGCCUCCGGGCGCACCACCGACCGAUCCUGACGUUCUCUGAUGGAUUUGAGUAGGAGCCCUACUGCUUGGACCCGAAAGAUGGUGAACUAUGCCUGUAUAGGGUGAAGCCAGAGGAAACUCUGGUGGAGGCUCGCAGCG